UCCCUUCACUUGGUUCCUAUGAGAAUACGGAAAACUUCUGUCUCCGAUGCGUUGUGCAACGAAACUCUCUUCUGCUGGAGAUCAAGAAGCGGGAAGAGAGAAGGAAAAAUCAAAACUCCCGACCGUGAGCCAUCACCUCGUGUCGUCGACCACCCCACAUGGUUAGGUAGAGACAGAGAAGGGUGAACCGAGUCGUGCUUGCGGAGGUCCCACUCUAGACGAGCACCGGAUUCCAUCACAGGGGUCGACACGGUGCACAUGGGAGUAACGAGAUCGACCAGUGUGCAAUGUUCCCUCCGAAUGGGCCGAAGUGAGAUAACUAGUUUUUCCUCCGCGCGAUUGAGCACAUUUUGCUCAAUUGCGGGAUCGGUGGGUGAGCUGGUAAGGCUUUUCAUCGCUCACCGGUCUACUGGCGGUAUUCCGCAUUUAUGGUUCGCAGUGUGUGCGAAGAAGAGGUGCAGACACUAUCACGGUCGUAAACGCGCUCGCGAUGUUCAUGGAUUAGGCGAACAAAAUUUCGAAAAUCGUACGUAAAAUUCCACCUGACGCGGUCGGCCAUAAAACUGAUCGAUUGCUAAUUGGAUCGUUUCGAUUGGUUUCUGCGUGAUCGUGAUCGCUGUUAAUUGCGAUAAUUGGUGACAUCGUUGCAAUUGGUUCCAGUUAGAACUGCACAGAUCACCGUUUUCGAAGGUUCAAGUGAAUGCCUGAAAGCCGCACACGCGUUUCGCGUUGAUUUCCUCCAGAGUCGCCGCGGAAGAGAGCGAGAGUUUCGCGUAUGAGUGAGAGGCCAAAGGCCAAGACGCUGGAGCGAAGAGACCAAGAACCAGUAGAGCAGGACGGCGACAGUGGGCAAUACAGAGAGCUUCGGGGCUUUAAUGUAUAUAAAAUAUAAAAUAAACACACAAGGAAUAUCAUUUUUCCUCUUGUAUUGCUUGUUAUAUGCGAAACUUUUGUAUUGUGUCAUAAACGAACUACUUGUCAUAACGUAAACAACUUCGGACUUCUACGAUCGAAUUUUUAUUAUUAUAAUAUUAAUAACAGUAAAAAUAAAACACAACCAAGAGGAGAAAAUUCAAAAUAAUAUCUAUAAAAUAAAGCAGUAAUAAAAAUCAACAUUAGUUCAAAGAUAAAACAUGAAUAAAACAAUUUGAUAGAGAAUCAAAGGAGGCUUUGCGAAAAGCACAACAAACAAUAAAAAAGAAAUCUACGGUUGCUUUGUUUUCGUUUGCUGUGCGACGGAGACACUUUGUACUUUGUGCCACGAGACGAGUAAUGCAGUAGGAAGAAAGAAAAUAGCCGACAGUUUGAACUUUGCCGAGUCCUCGGCAUACGCGUACGUGACAAGUGCUGCUCCCGACGAAGAUAAGUGUUCAUCAAUCUGAUGACCUGUUAUGCCGUGUGCAAGUGAGCUAAGGACGUCGCUGUUUUAAGUGCUACUGGGCAAUUAAAAUCCACCUAAAGUGACGAGUGAGAAUCAACAACUGUGCGGCCAUCGAUGGUUAAACUGAAUACAUAAGUCAACUUGUUUGUGAUUUGAAAUUGUGAUAAGGAAGUCAAGUGAUAAGAAAACGGAAUAAUUGAAAGGCAUCUGCCAUUGGUGAUAAUUGUAUGAAUUGAUCAAAAUGGGUCCUUUAAGGUGGUAAAGUGGCAAUCGUUUAGAGCAGAUUAAUUGCUCAAAGUGUAGAACAGAGUGCAAAAAUCCUCUCGGUGGCAUUAAGCAUUGAAUGUCACAGACCCCAAACUCUGAAGGUAGUCCAUUAACCACAGGUAGUGAAGGUAGUCCGAAUUCUCCACCGACCAGCAAAAUGUAUCCGUUCGUUUCGAAUCACCCGUCGUCGCACGCCAGCUACUCAACGAUGCCAGGUUUUUCGGGCUUGGACGACAAAUCGUGCAGCAGUAGAUACACAGAUAGCGUUAUGAAUAGCUAUCCACCGAUGGGAGUUCCCGGUAGUGCCAGUAUUGCCCAGUUCUACCAGCAAGCAGCUGCCGUAUCGGCAGCUUCCGCCGGCGUCGGUGUAGAUUCCCUCGGGUCCGCAUGUUCACAGCUAUCGUCGUCCGUCGGCGGAGGCCAAUCUGGCCUCCCAGACAUUACCCGCCAUCCCUGGCUCGUGACCGCAUCUCAAUCCGCGCUACAGAAAUUCGCCAGCACAGAUUGGAUGAGUAAUCCCUUCGACCGAGUGGUGUGUGGAGAUUUUGCAGGUCCCAACGGAUGCCCGCGUCGACGAGGCCGGCAAACGUACACCCGCUUCCAGACGCUCGAGCUGGAGAAAGAGUUCCACUUCAACCACUACCUGACCCGGCGACGGAGGAUCGAAAUUGCGCACGCCCUGUGUCUGACCGAGCGGCAGAUCAAAAUCUGGUUCCAAAAUCGCCGGAUGAAGCUGAAGAAGGAACUGCGGGCGGUGAAGGAGAUCAACGAACAGGCGCGGCGCGAACGGGAAGAGCAGGACAAGAUGAAGAACGACUCGUUGAAAUCCGCCCAGCAACAUCACAACAGCCAGAAGCAGCAAGAGCAGACGAUCGUCGGUUCCCAGCAGUCCAGCGGAGGAGGCGGCGGCGGCGGUGGCGGUGGUGGAAGUUCGAGCCUCGGCAGCCACCUGCACCAUCCGUCGAUAGUGGCCCAGAACGAUCUGAAACUCGGCCUCGGCAGUAUGGGCGUCGGCGUCGGCGUCGGAGGGAAUCUCAGCAUGAUGGGAGGUCUGGAUAAUAAAACCAAUCAGGAUAUACUGAAAGCCGUGAUGCAACAUAACAAAAGGUGGGAAUAAGUUGAGAUUAAUUGUAAAACUACGCUUUUAGACUGAACUGGAUUGAGAUAGCAGGUCAAUCUCCCACCACAACUCAAUCUCUCCGCAAACCUGAGUACUAGAGACAUCGUUGGUUCGAUUUAACCAAGAACCUAAAUAAGCCACAAGCAACUCACUCAACACAACAGUACACAAAAAAAAUACAUCCGACAUACGUAAUUUUCACAAACACAAAAGAACGAUUGGGAAGAGUAGACAGCAGCAGAUCGUAGACGAUCACGGCCUCCAGACUUCAGAAUUGGUUCAACUCUGUCGGAAGGCCAACCAGAGCGACAAAAUUGCAAAUUUGCGGAUGAUUGCCGGAAUGGAUGACCUAUGGAUCCGAUGGACGUUUAGUAUGCAGAAGCAGCAGAAACAGCGAUGAUGGAAGAAAAAAACGACCGUGAUGGUUGGUCUGGGGGUUGACUUACUUUGCUAGAGGGGAUUGUGACUUAUUCUUUGAACGUUGAUUGCAUUUGAAGAAAUUUCUUAGAAUAAGUCACAGCCUUUAAAAGGACAAGAACUAGUUGUAAACUAUAGACCGAGAAAAAAAUCUGGAAAACAAGUAAAAGUAAUAACAAAUAUACGUACUAGUGCUAAGAAACUAUUUUUUCUAUAGAACUUAAACAUGAUUUGUAAUCAUAUUUGUCGAUUAUACAUUUAGAAGAAGAAGAAAGAGAUGAAAUGCGAUAAUUGUGACAAGUUCGAAUAUCACCAACUCAAACUCCUCGGUUUGAAUCGAACGUAACGGCUGCUCGACUCGAGUCGAUCGAGUCCAGUGCGACAGAGCAAAUCAUGCAACAAAAAACUGUGUUAGGUAAAGAUUAGUUAUAUUUAAAAUGGUCGUACUCAUUAACUAUAGCGUUUCGUUUUUGGUAAGGUUUUAAAAUCUCUACGGUCAAAGCGUGUGUGCGGAAACCAGAAACCGCACACAGCAGUACCGUGUCAAAAUACGUAAUUACAAUUAUUGAAUAUAACCAAGGUUAAAACUGAAACUAAACAAAACAAACAGAAAUAAUCGCAAAUCUGUCCAGUGGUUAGAGUUAGUUAUUUUAGAAAUAGCGAAAAAUUAUAAAUUCAGAAAGCUGAAUUGCAGAACUGUGUCUAAGCCGGCCAUCUGUGCCCGGUGGAACUCCCUGAUCCCAGAAAGAGUUUUAGUUUCUUUUGUUGACUUUCACUUGUGUAAAUUUGUUACUAUUUUGUAUUAACAAGACUUAGACCGUAGAUUUAGUUAGAAAGAUGAUACAUAUUGAAUAAAUUUCUAAUUUGUAAUACAAAUCUUUUGUUUUUCAUUGAUUCAUUGGUUGCUAAUUAGUAGUGAUCUGAGGAGCUGGCCCGGAAUAUGAUCUUUUGUCUUCCAGUCGAUGGUAUGUUCCGUUCGAUUUAUCUUCAUUUAGUGGAGCCAAUAACCGCGCCUCAGUCGGCAACCUUCGUACUAUACGAACCACUUUAUUUCACAUAUCAAUUGACCUAUUUUACGUUCGCCCUUGUUGUGUUGUUUCGCGAUCAAGUUCCUCAGAUCAAAUCCGUUCAUAUUUAUGCUCUUUUAACUUUUUUUUUAUGUUAAUAUACUUCCCACUGUUUCGAUGAGAAACACUGAGUUCGAAGAAUUACAAGCUAUACCAUUACCUCCAAGCAGCAGCGAAGCACAAGCGAAACGGUUUUCUGUACAACUAAAAGCAAAACUCAGUUUCACCAAACAGUUUUCCCAAGGAAUCCAUGUAAAUAUCGCUUUAAAUCCCACAUUGUCACUGAUCAAAAGGAAGAAAAUGAAAUACGUAAUCAUAGUCAGGGUAGAAUAGAGAACAACCAGAACAAGCUAUUUAUAUGAAACAAAAAAGAAGAGUUCAUUCCAUCGUCUAAUCAAUGUUUGUUUGACGCUACUCACAAAUAACACAGUAAAAGUCUUGCCAUAGAAAUCAAGCAAAUUCAAUGUUUUGAUCUCAACUCGACGCAAACAAAACAGAACAAACACUUUUCCUUGAUAAACUCGUCGAAGAAAGUCUCGAUAAACGUAAAACUCAUCACUUAAAUACGUAAACAUUGGUGAAUAUAAAAAUGCAUUUUAAAUACUGCUAGUAAUUGAUACAGAAAUUGUAAAUUAUAACAUUUAAUACUGAUAUUAAUAUAAUACAAAACUAAAAAAAAAAAACUAGUGAUUAUGCCGUACAUGUUAAUGUGAAUAUUGAAGAAAUUCAGAGAGCUAAGUCCGCCACUGGGAAGCUUUGGAGGAUCGGCCAUAGUGAAAACGAAUUGAGCAAUUAAUCUCUCUAAUUCUUUGGAAAACUGCUCCACUGAUAUCGAUGACCCGGAAACGGAAUGACCUUUAUUUUUGUCCAUAUAGAGCGAAACUAAUAGACACCUACUCGUGAAGAGGAAGCGAAGCAGGAAAAUUGAGACAAACGAGAAAACCAAAAUCAAAGGCAAUACAAUUUCAAUAUUCAAAACGUAAGUUUUUGGCUAGCAGCCGAAUUGAGUUUGAUCUGAGAUAGAUGGAGCUACGCGAGAGAUCCUUUAAAAUAGCUCGAUGUUUAUUUAUUACAUCUAUUAAACUGCAAAAAACAAAACCAAACUAGAUGGUCACAAGAAAACCGAAAUACGUACACAUCGUACUGUGGCAGCAAAUUGUCCGUGUAAUGAAGAAGAGAAGUGAGCAGAAUGACAUAUUGAUAUGAAUUAUGGAAAUAAAACAAGUGAAUGAAACCUAA